rnacentral:rRNA from 1 species
UCGGGAAUUUUGGGCAAUGGGGGAAACCCUGACCCAGCAACGCCGCGUGAAGGAUGAAGUAUUUCGGUAUGUAAACUUCGAAAGAAUAGGAAGAAUAAAUGACGGUACUAUUUAUAAGGUCCGGCUAACUACGUGCCAGCAGCCGCGGUAAUACGUAGGGACCAAGCGUUGUUCGGAUUUACUGGGCGUAAAGGGCGCGUAGGCGGCAUGACAAGUCACUUGUGAAAUCUCUGGGCUUAACCCAGAACGGCCAAGUGAUACUGUCGCGCUAGAGUGCAGAAGGGGCAAUCGGAAUUCUUGGUGUAGCGGUGAAAUGCGUAGAUAUCAAGAGGAACACCUGAGGUGAAGACGGGUUGCUGGGCUGACACUGACGCUGAGGCGCGAAAGCCAGGGGAGCAAACAGGAUUAGAUACCCCCGUAGUCCCUGAGCGGGCUGGCAAGGCGC